rnacentral:rRNA from 1 species
UACAGAGGUCCCAAGCGUUGUUCGGAUUCACUGGGCGUAAAGGGUGCGUAGGCUGCCAACUAAGUCGGACGUGAAAUCCCUCGGCUUAACCGGGGAACUGCGUCCGAUACUGGAUGGCUUGAGUUUGGGAGAGGGAUGCGGAAUUCCAGGUGUAGCGGUGAAAUGCGUAGAUAUCUGGAGGAACACCGGUGGCGAAGGCGGCAUCCUGGACCAACACUGACGCUGAUGAGCGAAAAGCCAGGGGAGCAAACGGG